AGCGAACGCUGGCGGCAGGCUUAACACAUGCAAGUCGAGCGGGCAUCUUCGGGUGUCAGCGGCGGACGGGUGAGUAACGCGUGGGAACGUGCCUUCUGGUUCGGAAUAACUCAGGGAAACUUGAGCUAAUACCGGAUACGCCCUUUUGGGGAAAGGUUUACUGCCGGAAGAUCGGCCCGCGUCUGAUUAGCUAGUUGGUGGGGUAACGGCCUACCAAGGCGACGAUCAGUAGCUGGUCUGAGAGGAUGAUCAGCCACACUGGGACUGAGACACGGCCCAGACUCCUACGGGAGGCAGCAGUGGGGAAUAUUGGACAAUGGGGGCAACCCUGAUCCAGCCAUGCCGCGUGAGUGAUGAAGGCCUUAGGGUCGUAAAGCUCUUUUAUCCGGGACGAUAAUGACGGUACCGGAGGAAUAAGCCCCGGCUAACUUCGUGCCAGCAGCCGCGGUAA
rnacentral:rRNA from 1 species